rnacentral:rRNA from 1 species
UGCCAGCCGCCGCGGUAAUACGGAGGGUGCAAGCGUUAUCCGGAUUUACUGGGUUUAAAGGGUGCGUAGGCGGGACUUAUAGUCAGUGGUGAAAGCCUGCAGCUUAACUGUAGAAUUGCCAUUGAUACUUUUGUCCUUGAAUCUAGUUGAGGUGGGCGGAAUGCAGCACGUAGCGGUGAAAUGCAUAGAUAUGCUGCAGAACACCGAUUGCGAAGGCAGCUCACUAAACUAGUAUUGACGCUCAGGCACGAAAGCGUGGGGAGCGAACAGGAUUAGAUA